rnacentral:misc_RNA from 1 species
UGUCAUCAACACGAAUGAUCUCAGAUUUCAAGCACAGACACUUCCCUUGCAUGCUGCAAUCUGUGAUAUUUGAUCCUAACUCUCUGGGAUUUUUUUCUACAAAAGGAUCCUGCUUCAUAUCAAAGAUGCCACUCUUAAAAAGAUUUGUUGUAUCAUUAGCACCUUGGACUAGUUUGAAGGUAUCAGAAAUGCCUCUUACAUUUUCUUCCUGUAACUUGCAAGAACUUGGUAAAUGAGAUGUUGCAAUUGAGGUACUUGUGUAAUCUUUGGCUAAUUCACAAGUUCCUUGGACCUUACAAAUAGAGACAGGAAUGUCUCUUGCUUCUUCUGCCUGCAUCAGUCCACAAUUCUGAGAACCAAUAGACACAGGAAUGUCUCUUGCUACUUCCGCCUGCAUCUGGCCACAAUUCUGAGAACCAAU